AGUUCCCUUUGAUGUUCCGCUGCGGGUGGGCUGCGUAAUUUACAAGUGAAACUGUCGAGUACUGGCACGUCAUUGGCAAGCCCAGGUGACCUGCCUUGUACACAGCAACAAAGAUACUGGAACUUGUAAACAGCCAUGUGGUUCUUGCAAAUCUGUGCUCUGUAAACCUGCCAAGGAUGUUUUGUAGAAAAAGGUCAAGUGUAAUAUUGAAUUUAUUUAGAGAUACAGCUUGGAGCAGGGGCCCUUCCAGCCCUUCGAAUCACAUCUCCCAGCCACCCAUCUAACCUGAGCCUCAUCACAGGACGAGUUACCAUCACCAAACAACCUACUAGCUGGUGUGUCUUUGGAGAGUGGGGGGAAAGCGGAACACCCGGAAGAAGCCCUCACACUUCACAGGGAGGGUGCCGGGACGGAACUCUGAACUCCCAACGCCUGGAGCUGGAAUAACGUUGUGUGAAUCGCCAAGCUGCCGUGGCGCUCCGGUAUGAAACAACAAGACGUUUAAUUAUUUACUUGUGAUGGGGUGCAGGCCAUUCCAGUCAUCAGGUCUGGGUGGCACCUCCCUCUCACAGAGCCCCGCAGCCCUGCACUGGCCUGGACAUGAUCCUGACUCAGCAGGUCAGGCAGCAUCUGUGGAGGGGAAUCUGCUUCAGACCCAGACCCUCCACCAGAUCUCGCUGUUGGCCUGAAACGUCCACUGUGGGAAUUCAAUGAAUCGGAAUUGUUUAAUUUCACUGGCAUGUGUCAUGAAAUUUGUUGACUUUAAGGCAGCAGUAUAAUACAAUACAUAAUAACAGAGAAACAAAACUGUGAAUGACACAAAACAAUGUGGAGCCCUUCAAACCGCAUGGCCCAGCACGCCCCAUUUAACCCUCGCCUCAUCACCGGACAAGUUACAACAAUCAAUUAACCUGCACACCUUGGAUUGUGCAAGGAAACCGGGUCAGCUGGAGAAAAUCCAUUCUUUCCACUGGGAGAAUGAAAAGACUCCUUACAGGAGACAUCAGGAUCGAACACCAGUCCUGAUGAAGGGUCUCAGCCUGAAAUGUUGACUGUUUACUCUGUCGGGCCUGCUGUGUUACGUGACUGUUACACUCCGAACUCUGACACCACGAGCUGGGAUGGCAUCGCACUACUACAAUACCGUGGCGGGCACGCUGGAGAAUCUCUACAGGACAGGCAGCAUCUAUGGAGGGGAGUAAACAGACCGUGACCCUUCAUCAAGAAAUUAAUUAUAUAAUCCCAGUCAGAUGUAGGAAUUAUUACUCCAGCAAAUGACGGGCAUAAUGCACUUUCAGGUCCAGAUCCCGCUGUGACUUUGAUAGACUUCCUCGCUGACUCACUGUCUCAAGAUGACACCGUCUGGGUGACGCUGUGGAGACGAGGACUCAUGACCUGCUUGUUGUACGGGAAAUGGUCGUGCUCAGGAAAACAAGAAUGAAGGGAAGAGAGGCUCAGAAGAGAAGUGGUGGUAGAAAAGUGUGUCAGGUCAGAGGUGACCCACUUACAACUAGCCCUGUGCCGAAUCUCACUGCUGACAUCAAUGCACCCACUCAGGGACAGAAUGAAUAUGUUUCCACCAUCGAGCGGCAGUGACUAAGCACGCUGAUGUUAUCUCAGGGAGCUGGCGGGUGCAGGCUGUCUGGUGGUCUCUCUGUCACUGAGAGCGGUGGUGAGGGGGAGUAAUUACAACAGGCCCAGCGCUGGUCUCCAACUCCCUGUGAAACAGAGAGGACCCCUCCACAGACCAUCAUCGCUCA